rnacentral:lncRNA from 1 species
UUUGAACCUUGAUUUUGCAUCCUGAAACUUUGCUGAAGUUGUUUACCAGAUAUAGGUUUUCUAGGUAUAGAAUUUUAUCAUCUGCAAACAGAGAUUGUGUCUCUUGUUUCCAUCCUUAUGCCCAUGUGUACCCAUGUUUAGCAACCACUUAUAUAUGAGCAUAUGCAGUAUUUAUUUCCUAUUUCUGUGUUAGUUUUCUUAGGAUAAUGGCCUCC